AAUCAACGCUGGCGGCGUGCCUCAGACAUGCAAGUCGAACGCGAAAGUCUCCUUCGGGAGACGAGUAGAGUGGCGCACGGGUGAGUAACACGUAGGUUAUCUACCUCCGAGUGGGGAAUAACAGCCGGAAACGGCUGCUAAUACCGCAUAAUACCGAAAGGUCAAAGCUUUAUGUGCUUGGAGAGGAGCCUGCGGCAGAUUAGCUAGUUGGUAAGGUAAUGGCUACCAAGGCGACGAUCGUUAGCUGGUCUGAGAGGAUGAUCAGCCACACUGGGACUGAGACACGGCCAGACUCCUACGGGAGGCAGCAGGUGGGGAAUAUUGGACAAUGGGCGCAAGCCUGAUCCAGCAAUGCCGCGUGAGUGAAGAAGGUCUUCGG
rnacentral:rRNA from 1 species